AGGCCCUGAAUCAAGACCAGCAGUUUGCUGUGGCUGUUGGUUUCAAGCAGGAGCCG
ensembl:miRNA